ensembl:lncRNA
AAGCUAAAGGCUCAGACAGCAAAGAACCCGACUGCAGUGCAGGAGACCAGGGUUCGAUCCUUGGGUUGGGAAGAUCCCCUGGAGAAGGAAAUGGCAACCCACUCCAGUAUCCUUGCCUGGAGAAUCCCAUGGACGGAGGAGCCUGGGUGAGCUACAGUCUACGAGGUCACAAAGAGUCGGACACGACUGAGUGACUAACACUUUCGCUUUCACUUUCGGUUUGAGCCCUUCACACACAUCACCCUGGUGAUGGUCUGAGAGUUCAGUGCUGUUCUUAUAACCAUCGCACAGAGGAGGCGAUGAAGCUCACAGCGCAGUUGGAGGUGGAGCUCGUUGUGACCUUUCUUCAGUCUGACUCCGGAACCCGGUUGCUCACUCCCCUCUGUUCUCCUUGGAAUCUCCUGAGAACAUAUUCUAAUUACCUUUUGACAGACGAAAAGGCUGAGGCAGAAGCUGAGCGCUGGCUUCUGGUCAUACAGCUACUUAGUGACAGAGAGAAGGACUAGCCACGAGAUUUUCGACUCUUCUUUUCCUGUUCCGCUGGGUUGCUGAGUAGGGGCACACAGUGGACUGAGGCAUCUCCUGGCAGGUUUGGAGAUGCCUCGGACAAGGUCAUUACCCUGAUGGCACUGAUAGUGAGAGACGGCAGGGCAUGGACCCAGCCCCUUAGCUCCUGCUCUGUGCUUCCCGGACCCUGGGAGGAAGGAAAGCUCAGCCAGGACCGGGAAGAAACCAGCAUCCCUGGGGCGCGUUCCUGGAAACGUCUCUUACUGCAGCAAGAUCUCUUACUAGAAGGCGCAGACUGGAACCCUCUCCAGCUUCGCUGACAGAAAAAAGGAAGUGGAGCAAACACCUACAAAACAGACAGGAAAAAGGAAGUGGAGCAAACACCUACAAAACACCUUCAGGACUGGCAGUUCCAAGCCUCAGCUAGCAGCCUAUAAAUUUACCACCUUCACUAUCAAGAUAAGAAGACCUUGUCUCAGAGUGCUUAAGUGAUGUGAUCAGCUACAUAGCUUAUAGGUGUUAAAACAAACUGGCUCCGGGAUCCACACACACUCUCACCUACUGGGCUAGACACCUUCAAUGACCCUCUGUUUGAUGCUGAAAGUACAACUUAGAGAGAUUAAGUGACUUGACCAGGCUACACAGCUGACAAAAAAAGCUGAGACUUCAGCCCUGGAUCCUUCAUGCUAAGCUCUUGGCAACAAUGCAAACCCAAAAGUGUUGGGUCUUCAGGGAGGACCAACCAUAAUGAUGCCUUCUUACUGCUCAUUCUUGAUUUGCACGUGACUCUGCUCCACUCAUGAACCCCUGUUUUGCCACUAGGUUCAGCUGUGGUUGAUUUUCAGAACCCACAGGGACGAAAAAAAAAACCAUAUUCCUAUUUGUUGCAAUUGUUCUUGGGGCUUCCCAGGUAAUGUAGUGGUAAAGAACCCGUCUGCCAAUGCAGGAAAUGCAAGAGAUGUAGGUUCAAUCCCUGGAUCCGGAAGAUACCCUGGGAAAUGGCAACCCACUCCAGUAUUCUUGCCUGGAAAAUUCCAUGAACAGAGGAGCCUGAUGGGCUACGGUCCAUGGGGUCAUGAAGAGUCAGACACAGAUGAGCACGCACGCACAGCACAGUGGUUUUUAGUAACGGCAACUCUUAGAAUCACCCGGGGUUCUUUAUAAUCUGUUGAUGCCAAGGCUCCACCUUAGACCAGAAUAUCUGAGGUGGGGGACAAGGACACCAGUAUUUCAUAAGAACUAUCCAGGUGAAUUUAAUGUGCAGUCAGGGCAGAGAACUACUGAUUUAACCAACCCCAAACACAGAGGGGACACAGAGGAUGCUGAAAAACAUCUUUACUUUUUCCAUUAGCUUGCCUUUCUCCCAGGCAAACUCUGCCCUAAAUGGAUGCCUUGGGGUCUCUUACUCCUAAUUUGGACUUCCCUGGUGGCAGAGUGGAUAGGAAUCCACCUGCCACUGCAGGGGACACAGGUUCGAUCUCUGGUCUGGGAAGAUUCCAAAGCCAUGAAGCAACUAAGCCCACAUUCCACAACGACUGAAGCCUGUGUGUCUAGAGCCUAUGCUCCACAACAAGAGAAGCACUGCAGUGAGGAGCCCACGUGCCGUAGCCAAGAGCAGCCCCUGCUCGCCACAGCUAGAGAAAGCCCACACACAGCAACGAAGACCCGGCAC